UAGGGAAUAUUAGUAAUGGGCGAAAGCCUGAACUAGCAACACCGCGUGUGCGAAGAAGGCCUUCGGGUUGUAAAGCACUUUUUGAGGGGAUGAGGAAGGACAGUACCCUCAGAAUAAGUCUCGGCUAACUACGUGCCAGCAGCCGCGGUAACACGUAGGAGGCAAACGUUAUCCGGAUUUACUGGGCGUAAAGCGCGUGUAGGUGGUUUGGUAAGUAGAGCGUGAAAGCUCCUGGCUCAACUGGGAGAGGUCGUUCUAAACUGCCGGACUAGAGGAUGGUAGAGGGAGGUGGAAUUCCGGGUGUAGCGGUGGAAUGCGCAGAUAUCCGGAGGAACACCAGUGGCGAAAGCGGCCUCCUGGACCACUCCUGACACUCAGACGCGAAAGCUAGGGUAGCAAACG
rnacentral:rRNA from 1 species